GAUGAACGCUGGCGGCGUGCUUAACACAUGCAAGUCGAACGAUGAUGCCAGCUUGCUGGUGGAUUAGUGGCGAACGGGUGAGUAACACGUGAGUAACCUGCCCUUGACUCUGGGAUAAGC
rnacentral:rRNA from 1 species